ensembl:lncRNA
AAGAUUAUUCUAGCAUGUGUAAUUUGCAGAGCCUGAGCUGCAGUCAGCACAGCAGGAGGUGGAGCAGCUCAGACAGGAAGUAGAAAAACUGAAGAAAUAUGGUGAGAGCUUUUAUCGGGUGUAUUCAAAGCUAUUUUCAAUGAACAGCCUGAAAUCGAUGGAAGUGUAAAGGAAAGAGAAGUCUGUGUGUGGUGAGUGUGGUGAGGAAAUGAUCUGACUUUAUUUCAAAAGAAAUGGUGGAACUACGAAAGGCCAAAGAACUGAAUGAUCGUUUGGACUUGGAGAUCAGAGCCUUGAGGAACAGGGUUCGCUGCCUGGAUGCUGAGAAAAGCUCUCUGCAGCAAUCAGUGGUGUCUCUGCAGGAGGAGGUGGAGGAGCUGGAUUCAGCCCUGCAAGAGCAGCAGCAACAGGUUCAGGCCAAACAGACCAGGGAGGGGGCUCAGGGUGGAUCUCUGCAGGAGAAGGUGGAGCAGCUGGAGUCAGCCCUGAAGGAGCAGCAGCAGCACCUCCUCUCUGUGCAGCUUCAGGCAAACGAGGCCAAUGACUUUGCCAAAGCUCAAACUGCAGAGUUGGUGCAGAGUCAGCAGACCUCCAGAAACCUGCAGGAGAACCUUGAUGCACAGACAAGAUGCCUUUUAGAAAAAGAGGACAUUAUUGAGUCUCUUCAGCAGCAGCUGGAGCAUUCUCAGGAUAACAAUAGAACUGAAAUCUGCACCAAGGAAAACAACCUUCAGGAUGACACGCUGUGGAAACAAACCAAAGCAGAUUUACAGCUCUGUGAAGUCACUCAGUCUCAGCUUGAAGACUCCUCCAUCACUGAGGACAAAGAGCUGCAGACACAGCUGACACAUAAGGAGUGUCCUAAUGGUCCAGAAGAGAUGACCACCACCCAGGAUGAAUGUGAGGUACUUAAGAUGGAGAUCUGUGAAACCCUUAAAUGUCUCGACAAAGAGCGAAGUAAAUACCAUGUGAUGAAGGAAAAACAGAAGGCAAAACUAUGUCGAGCCAAACAGAAACUUGACGAUGAAACCACGUGGCGUGAUGAGAAGAUACAAAAUCUGGAGAGAGAAUUGUCUUUGUCUUCACAUUCAUUAGCGAAGAAGAAGGAACUUAUUAUGAGCAUAGGUGUGGAAAAUGAAAAGCUUCUCUUUGAAAAGAGGAAGCUUCUACAACAGUUAAGUGAGACAGACAGCAACAAGAAAGACAGUCAUCUGACAGCUUCUUUGUCCCAAUGCAGGGUGGAUUUCUUGGAAAUGGAAAACAAGAAACUAGGAAACAAAAUAUUCCACAUGUCCAAUCAGCUGGCAGUCCUGCAACGCAGACUGCAGAACAUGCAGUCACUUCACUUUGCUCAGAAACUGAACAAAAUGGUAAAUCACCAGCAGAUUUCCACAUCUCUCCCUCUGCAGAUGUCAAGUGUCCCGUCAGAAAUUCAGGGAUUACUGGACAGCACACAGAGCGGUGCCACCAAGCAGACAGAUGCGUCCUCUUUCCAUCACUGUUACACCUCUGGGUCUCUGAGUCGAUCAGCAGAGAUGGGCUACCUGAACCUGACCUCCACACAGAGCCAAGCAAACCACUAAGCUCCAUCAGCUCACAAGUCUUGAGUGUUCACCUAGACGUACAGCACAUCAACUAUUUAGUAAGUUUGUAAAACAGAUUAGUAUUAUUUGUAAAUAAUUGAGCAAACAAAUGUAUGUAAUACUAUGUAUUAGCUACAUGCUCUCAUUUUGUGUAUGAUAGUUAAAGUGGGCUUGUGUUUAUGUAUUCAAUGUUGUCAUGUUUGUAAAAUAUGUGUGGAAACUCUGAGUGUAUAUAUAUAUAUAUAUAUAUAUAUAUAUAUAGCUUCCUUACCAGUAUUAAAUCAUAAUUGCCAAUAUCAUUAGGUCUAUAGCAGGGCCGGAGCACCAGUGUAAAGCACUUGUUGUACUGCAAGUCUAUUACUAUUCUUCUGCUGAAAGAAAUGCUAAUAUGAAGACCUAAUGUAUUCAAACACAAGCCAAAUGUCUCUUUUUAGUAUUUCAGUGCCUUCACAAGUGAAAAUACCCGAUUCCCAAAAAAAAUAUAUAAUAAUAUUUUAUUUUUUUUGCAUUAGCCCCUAUGUCAUGUUCCCAAGGGAAGACCCACCUCUAUAAAUUGGAUUUGAUUUUUGUUUUGUAUGUAUUAAUGUAUUCAUUUGCAAUAAAAAAAAAAAAACAUUUCA